rnacentral:rRNA from 1 species
AACGAACGCUGGCGGCAGGCCUAACACAUGCAAGUCGAACGCCCCGCAAGGGGAGUGGCAGACGGGUGAGUAACGCGUGGGAACCUUCCCUAUAGUACGGAAUAGCCCAGGGAAACUUGGAGUAAUACCGUAUACGCCCGAGAGGGGAAAGAUUUAUCGCUAUAGGAUGGGCCCGCGUAGGAUUAGCUAGUUGGUGAGGUAAUGGCUCACCAAGGCGACGAUCCUUAGCUGGGCUGAGAGGACGACCAGCCACACUGGGACUGAGACACGGCCCGUACGCCUACGGGAGGCAGCAGUGGGGAAUAUUGGACAAUGGGCGCAAGCCUGAUCCAGCCAUGCCGCGUGAGUGAUGAAGGCCUUAGGGUUGUAAAGCUCUUUUGCCGGGGAAGAUAAUGACGGUACCCGGAGAAUAAGUCCCGGCUAACUUCGUGCCAGCCGCCGCGGUAAGAC